UUGUUCUAGGUACCAAAGGCACGUAAAAAGAGAUGCUCUUCACACAAGUACUUUGCAUGCUGUCAUACAUAGACAUCAGAGAAAGAACGGCUAGGACUGGAAUGAUCCGGAGACAAGCAACUGCCCCCUGAAACAGUUAAAAUACAAAUCAUUUGUUCAGUUGUACAAGUCUUGACAGAACCCAAAAGCAUGUAGAGGUGGAGAAACUGAAGCAUAGAGGGAAGAAACACUGUGUUUAUAUGGCAUGCCACUGACAGAGGGGAUUGCAAAUGUUGUUGCCUGGACACCAUGCUAUCUUAGACUGAAGGAGCUCUCAUCAGUUUCUAAAUCAGUGCAUUACAG